rnacentral:rRNA from 1 species
GACGAACGCUGGCGGCGUGCUUAACACAUGCAAGUCGAACGGAAAGGCCCUGCUUGCCGGGUACUCGAGUGGCGAACGGGUGAGUAACACGUGGGUGAUCUGCCCUGCACUUCGGGAUAAGCCUGGGAAACUGGGUCUAAUACCGGAUAGGAGCAAUUUUUAGGGUGAGGGUUGGAAGGUUUUUUCGGUGUAGGAUGAGCUCGCGGCCUAUCAGCUUGUUGGUGGGGUAAUGGCCUACCAAGGCGGCGACGGGUAGCCGGCCUGAGAGGGUGGACGGCCACAUUGGGACUGAGAUACGGCCCAGACUCCUACGGGAGGCAGCAGUGGGGAAUAUUGCACAAUGGGCGCAAGCCUGAUGCAGCGACGCCGCGUGGGGGAUGACGGCCUUCGGGUUGUAAACUCCUUUCGCUAGGGACGAAGCUUUUUGUGACGGUACCUAGAUAAGAAGCACCGGCUAACUACGUG